rnacentral:rRNA from 1 species
GUUGGCAGCUAGCUCUCUGCAACUCUCACAUGCUCGCCCACUAAAGCUAAGCAGGGCUGCGCAUGGUCAGUACCUGGAUGGGAGGCCACAUGGGAAAACUAGGUUGCUGCCGGAA